rnacentral:rRNA from 1 species
CGCAAAUUACCCACUCUCAAAACGAGGAGGUAGUGAAGAAAAUAACGAUGUUAGUCUUUUUUAGGCUGACAAUCGGAAUGGAAAAACUCUAAAAAGGUUAUUGAUUAACAAUUGGAGGGCAAGUCUGGUGCCAGCAGCCGCGGUAAUUCCAGCUCCAAUAAGGAAAACUAAAGUUGCUGUGUUUAAAAAGCUCGUAGUUGAAUUUCGGGUAUUUGUUGCUAGUUGGUCUUUUCGGCCAUAUUGGUUAACAGAUCCUCACUUGCUGGACGGCUGGCGAUGAUCUUUAUCGGUUGUCGUCAGUUGCCAGAACGUUUACUUUGAGAAAAUUAGAGUGCUAAAAGCAGGCUCACGCCUAUAUAUAUUGCAUGGAAUAAUGAAAUAAGAUCUCGAUUUUAUUUCGUUGGUUUUAGAAAUUGAGAUAAUGAUUAAUAGGAUCAGAGGGGGGCG